AGUGAACGCUGGCGGUAGGCCUAACACAUGCAAGUCGAACGGCAGCACAGUAAGAGCUUGCUCUUACGGGUGGCGAGUGGCGGACGGGUGAGGAAUACAUCGUAAUCUACUUUUUCGUGGGGGAUAACGUAGGGAAACUUACGCUAAUACCGCAUACGACCUACGGGUGAAAGCAGGGGAUCUUCGGACCUUGCGCGAUUGAAUGAGCCGAUGUCGGAUUAGCUAGUUGGCGGGGUAAAGGCCCACCAAGGCGACGAUCCGUAGCUGGUCUGAGAGGAUGGUAGGCCGCCCGAGAACUGAGACACGGUCCAGACUCCUACGGGAGGCAGCAGUGGGGAAUAUUGGACAAUGGGCGCAAGCCUGAUCCAGCCAUACCGCGUGGGUGAAGAAGGCCUUCGGGUUGUAAAGCCCUUUUGUUGGGAAAGAAAAGCAGCAGGUUAAUACCACGCUGUUCUGACGGUACCCAAAGAAUAAGCACCGGCUAACUUCGUG
rnacentral:rRNA from 1 species